rnacentral:rRNA from 1 species
AGGACGAACGCUGGCGGCGUGCUUAACACAUGCAAGUCGAACGGUAAGGCCCCUUCGGGGGUACACGAGUGGCGAACGGGUGAGUAACACGUGAGCAACCUGCCCUUGACUCUGGAAUAACAGUUGGAAACAGCUGCUAAUACCGGAUAUGACACAUUCACUCAUGUGGGUGUGUGGAAAGUUUUUCGGUCAAGGAUGGGCUCGCGGCCUAUCAGCUAGUUGGUGAGGUAAUGGCUCACCAAGGCUUCGACGGGUAGCCGGCCUGAGAGGGCGACCGGCCACACUGGGACUGAGAUACGGCCCAGACUCCUACGGGAGGCAGCAGUGGGGAAUAUUGCACAAUGGGCGGAAGCCUGAUGCAGCAACGCCGCGUGCGGGAUGACGGCCUUCGGGUUGUAAACCGCUUUCAGUUCCGACGAAGCGAAAGUGACGGUAGGAACAGAAGAAGGACCGGCCAACUACGUGCCAGCAGCCGCGGUGAUACGUAGGGUCCGAGCGUUGUCCGGAAUUAUUGGGCGUAAAGGGCUUGUAGGCGGUCUGUCGCGUCGGAAGUGAAAACUCAGGGCUUAACUCUGAGCGUGCUUUUGAUACGGGCAGACUAGAGGGAUGCAGGGGAGAACGGAAUUCCUGGUGGAGCGGUGGAAUGCGCAGAUAUCAGGAGGAACACCGGUGGCGAAGGCGGUUCUCUGGGCAUUACCUGACGCUGAGAAGCGAAAGCGUGGGGAGCAAACAGGCUUAGAUACCCUGGUAGUCCACGCCGUAAACGGUGGGCACUAGGUGUGGGGGACAUUCCACGUUCUCCGUGCCGAAGCUAACGCAUUAAGUGCCCCGCCUGGGGAGUACGGCCGCAAGGCUAAAACUCAAAGGAAUUGACGGGGGCCCGCACAAGCGGCGGAGCAUGCGGAUUAAUUCGAUGCAACGCGAAGAACCUUACCUGGGUUUGACAUAUGCCGGAAAGCUGCAGAGAUGUAGCCCCCGCAAGGUCGGUAUACAGGUGGUGCAUGGCUGUCGUCAGCUCGUGUCGUGAGAUGUUGGG